UUUGCUCUAGAUUUUUGAAACCACAACAACUCCUCAUGAGCUAAAACUUCUUCAAUUUCCUGUCACAGUUCGCACUCCGGUCUAUGAAGUGAUUGAGUGGAGCAAACCUCAAGGACUUUUUGAACCCUUUCCAGCUUAGAAAUCAACUUUCUUUUGCGUAUAAAGAUAUUCUGCUCUGCUUUUUCCAUGUAUUUUAUAUUUCUCGUAUUAUUUCACUGUUCUGAUCUUUUUUAUUGUUGUUUUUUGUUUGUUUAUCAUCACCGUUUGCAGUAGGUGUUUCUAGGAAAACUUGUUUACAUCAUCGAUGCUGGAACAAAAGAAUAUUUGCAGAAGAAACCUGCAGGUGGUGAAGACGAGGACUUUUCAAGGGAUGCAAUGAGCGUGCUCAAUCUAAUGAAUCAACUGCAUAGUGAACUAGAACAGAGUAAGCUGAAACUUGAAUGUAGCAUUCCAAUAAUUGGUGCCCUUUGCGAGGAGCUGCGUUCAGGGCGGUCUAUACUCUAUAGUGUUGCCUGCUUCAGCAACUACUUUCAAUUCCAAACCCCAAGGAAACAGGAAAUCUAAGAAAAACAAGAAGAGUCGAGGCCGAAAUUGAAAGUAGAUAAGCAUUCCUAAAAUCCAGAUCUUCGUUUUAACUUGAUGGUUGAAAGUUAUGAUAGAAGUUCUGGGAUGACUUGAAAGCUCAUCUAUCUACUUGAUAUUGAAAUCUGUAGUCUGAAUUGGGUUUGCAUUCUGUUUUUUGAACUGCAACCUUUCUGAAAA